rnacentral:rRNA from 1 species
GCUUGUCUCAAAGAUUAAGCCAUGCAUGUCUUAGUGUAAAUAACUCUUAUGAAACUGCGAAUGGCUCAUUAAAUCAGUUAUCAAAUACGUGAUGGUCGCCUACUACAUGGAUAACCGUAGUAAUUCUAGAGCUAAUACAUGCACAAAGGCCCACUCACGUGGGUUGUGAUUAUUAGAUUCAAACCGGCCUCGUUCUGGUGAUUCAUAAUAAUUGGUCGAACCGCAUGCCCUUGUGGUGGCGGUGAUUCAUCCUUAUUUCUGCCUUAUCAACUGUCGAUGGUAGGUUACGCGCCUACCAUGGUUGCAACGGGUAACGGGGAAUCGGGGUUCGAUUCCGGAGAGGGAGCCUGAGAAACGGCUACCACAUCCAAGGAAGGCAGCAGG